UAGAAAACUUAUUGAAGAAAACCAGUCUAACUGGGGUGAGUAUCUUGACAUAGUUUUGUAUCCCUUACGUAUUGAAAGGCAAACUUCUACAAAAGUGUCACCUUUUGAGUUAAUGUUUGGUGGUCGUUCACCUGUUUGCAUAAGUGAGUUUAAAGAAGAGAUCAGUAUAUUUACUGCAAAUGUAGAUGACGUAAUGGCUGAAGUCGAAAAAAAAAAACAUAUUGAAAACUUAACUAAUAUAGUCACUAAGAACAUUGAAGAAGCUCAA